rnacentral:lncRNA from 1 species
GUGCAGAGGGUAAGGAGAUCAGGGCUGGUGGCACACCUCCUCUGGAAGACGGGAAAUCAGCGCCCCCAUGGGUGGGCUCACGGGAGCUUUAGGGGCCGGCCUGUGACAGGUUCAAGUACCUGCUGGUCAGUAUGCCCUCGGGCUUGGUGCAGGACAAGACCCUGUGGUCAGACCCCAUCCGCACCGACCGGCGUAAGUGGUGGGCCCCGGGUGGGCCGGGAGUGGACCUCGAGGGAACCUGGGCAAGCAGAUUCAAGCUGUCACUCAGAAAAUUCUCCCCAGACACGGGCAGGUCACUGGAUUAAUAAUUUUCCCCAUCCUCGCCCGCUCCCUCCUUCCCUUCCUCGAGGGCCAGGUCAUGUGACAUGGGAAGGUGGAGGACUUGCGGGUGUUUGGCCAGCUGGUGCGGGUGUUACGGGCUUCCCUGGUGGCUCAGGGGUAAAGAAUCUGCCUGCCAAUGCAGGAGACAUGGGUUCUAUCCCUGGGUCAGGAAGAUCCCCUGACUGGCGGGCUGCAGUCCAAGGGAUCUCAAAGAGUCAGACAGGACUGAGCGACCAAGUACGCACGCACACCAGACAGGGCACAUGUGUGGUUAUUCGAUGCUAUUUGGGGUUUGCUGGCUUCGAGGUCUUGGAAACCAGUCUGGGCCCAGGGUGCGCCUCUGUGGGCAACUCAUCCCAUCAUCACAUUCCCCUCUGCCCCCGGUCAGCUCUUUGUCUCUGGAGCUCAGCUUCCUCAUCUGCAAAUGGGCUGAUGUAGACAGUUAACUUAAGGGCCAUGCACACCUGCGUCGGUUCACAGCUUCCUCUGAGGACCGCCCCAGAGGUGACACGGGGGAGGAGCACUGAGUCUUCCUGUGGGGCUGGACAGGCUCUCCAGUCUUGGGUCUCUGCUCAGGUGACUCAAUGCUAUCUUCUGAGCCAGGUAGCAAGACUGACUCCCUUUCUGGGGUGUGCCCCACUUCCCAUCACUGAAAGAAGAGGUUGGUCAGGGGACUUCCCUGGCAGCCCAGUGGUUAAGACUUCCUGCUUCCAACACAGCAGGCAGGGGUUUGAUG